GCUGUGGUGAGUGAGCACCGGGAGGAGCUAAACCGCUUGAAUGCUUUUAUUCAAGGUGGUUACUAGAUAGUGAUGAUGACGAAGAAGUGAGACGCUGCUUUAGUUGACAUGCCGGAAUGACAAACAGUAAUAACCCUCGCCCGAGUGCCUGUAUAUAUCGUGUGUUCGUUUGUGCACCUCCGGUUGUUCGACAAACAGUAAUAACCCUCGCUCGGGUGCCUGUAUAUAUCGUGUGUUCGUUUGUGCACCUCCGGUUGUUCGACAGACAGUAAUAACCGUCGCUCGAGUGCCUGUAUAUAUCGUGUGUUCGUUUGUUCACCUCCGGUUGUUGUUUGGUUCUGUACUUCCAGUUACUGUCUAAUUACAAACCUGUGGGACUAUCAAGUACUUAACAAUAAGCAAUGUUAUGUUUUGCUUAAAUCGUCUUUCUUUCUCCAGUCGAUGGUAGCGCGUGCGUACCUUGUAUUUUGCAUCGCACACGUUUAUGUCGAAACCAUAAUCUUGAAUCUCGUUUGGUGUUUAAGCAUGCAAAUCAAGCUAGUGUUCAAAUAUACUCGUUUGAAGUGUUUUUAAAAUGAUUGAAAAUGUUUU
rnacentral:lncRNA from 1 species